AGACAGGUGGUGCAUGUUGUCGUCAGCUCGUGUCGUGAGAUGUUGGGUAAGUCCCGCAACGAGCGCAACCUUGUGUUUAGUUGCAAACAGGUCAAGCUGUGCACCCUAGACAGACUGCCGUGGACAACACGGAGGAAGGUGGGGGAUGACGUCAAAUCAUCAUGCCCCUUAUGAUCUGGGCUACGCACGUGCUACAAUGGCCGGUACAACGGGCAGCGAAGGAGCGAUCCGGAGCGAAUCCUAAAAAGCCGGUCCCAGUUCGGAUUGCAGGCUGAAACUCGCCUACAUGAAGUUGGAGUUGCUAGUAAUCGCGAAUCAGAAUGUCGCGGUGAAUGCGUUCCCGGGUCUU
rnacentral:rRNA from 1 species